UUCUUCUGGCAAUGUGAAAAAAAAGUCUUGUUGGUGACAUUGCUCUUAUAUCAGUCAGGGGCAGAUCAGAUGGCAGAACUUUGUUCAUGCUAGCUCGAUGCCUGCCUUUGUGGCCCAAGCUGCUUAAUGCCUAGGACACAUAA